UACGAAGGGGGCUAGCGUUGUUCGGAAUUACUGGGCGUAAAGGGCGCGUAGGCGGCGUGUCAAGUCAGGCGUGAAAGCCCCGGGCUCAACCUGGGAACCGCGCUUGAGACUGGCAUGCUCGAGUUCGGGAGAGGAUGGUGGAAUUCCCAGUGUAGAGGUGAAAUUCGUAGAUAUUGGGAAGGAACACCGGUGGCGAAGGCGGCCACCUGGACGGUAACUGACGCUGAGACGCGAAAGCGUGGGGAGCAAACAGG
rnacentral:rRNA from 1 species